rnacentral:rRNA from 1 species
ACCCGCACAAGCAGCGGAGCGUGUGGUUUAAUUCGUUGCUACACGAAGAACCUUACCUGGGUUUGACAUAUAGGUUGUAGGGAACUGAAAAGGGACCGACCCUUCGGGGAGCCUAUACAGGUGUUGCAUGGCUGUCGUCAGCUCGUGUCGUGAGAUGUUCGGUUAAGUCCGCUAACGAGCGCAACCCUCGUCGUAUGUUAUAUGUGUCAUACGGGACCGCCGGUCUUAAGCCGGAGGAAGGUGGGGAUGACGUCAAGUCAGCAUGGCCUUUAUAUCCUGGGCUACACACACGCUACAAUGGCCAACACAAUAGGUCGCUAAGCCGCGAGGUGGAGCCAAUCCAUAAAGUUGGUCUCAGUUCAGAUUGCAGGCUGCAACCCGCCUGCAUGAAGAUGGAGUUGCUAGUAACCGCAGGUCAGCUAUACUGCGGUGAAUACGUUCCCGGGGCUU